AAAGGAAAAAAAUAAUUGAAUCUUCACGUUAAUCUCACGAAUCCUAGAUAUUGUCAAUAGAAUCUCUGAACCUCAAUCUCACCGUCACCGCACAGAACCCUCAAUCGAACCCUCAAUCUCUCAGAACUCUUAAUCGAAUCCUCUAACUCACCCACUGAAAUCUCAAUCGAACCCUCAAUCUCUCAGAAUCCUGAAUCAACCUUCAGUCUCAAACUCUCACGUUCAAUCACCCUCACCUCACUUAAAUCUCAAUCGAAGAGUAAUUUGUGCAAAUAUAUGUUCAAGACCUAUUCAAAUUUAGGCGAUUCUAGCUUUAAAGUUGAGAAAUUUUUUGGAGGCAUAACAAAUUCAAUGAGCUAGCAUUCGAUGAAAAAAGCUGUAAAGAAGCAAUGGAUCUGUUUGGAGAAACCAAACAUCUUCAAAUUAUGGUCUUACCUUGACUCAGAAGAAUGAGGAGAGUGAAAAGGAUGAGAUUGAGAAUACUGGUCUUACCUUGUGUCGAAUAUUGAGAACAACAAAGCUUAACAUUGCAGAUUUUUUCAAAGAACUUCCUCAGUUUGUUGUCAAAGCUGGUCCAAUUUUAAGCAAUCGAUUCAGCUCUGAUUGGGAAAACAAGCUUGAGGCGAAAGAGAUGCAUGCUAACACUAUUCACUUGAAGAUUCUUAGUGUGUAGCCCAGUAUUAUAAGCGUGCAUUUGAAGAGUUCUUUGUGUCAACUGAUGCAAAUGUUGAAAUAAGUCGUCUGUUACCAACCGUGUAUCUGAGUGUCAUCGUUUUGGAUGGUUACUUUUCUUGGCGCUCCGUGUACAUGCUUUCAACCAUUUUAAAGAUUUGGUGACUUGCACCAAUGGUUUAAUUUCUAUCAUGGUCAGUUAGAUUCUUUUGUAGUUUUUUAGUAUUUUUCACUAAUGGAAUAUCCAUGAAGUGGUUUCAUAUCUUUUUUCUUUUGCGUUUCUUAUGCUGUGCGUUUUUCAAUUGCUUUGUAAGUGUUGACUUUUUACUUGUAUAGCUUGUGCAGGGGCCUGUUUUGAAUUAAUAUAUGUGCUAAUUCAAAUGUAGAACAGAGUAACAUCAAUAAGGUUUUGAACAGAGUAACAUCAAUAACAAUAUUCCCACUAGAGCUUUGACUAGAUAAAAUGGUAGCAUUGAAUAUGGGUUGUGCAAUGAUGAAUUUGGGUAGCUUUGUUUGUAUACUCGAGUCACUAGCCAAUAUUGAUUGAUUGUUUAUUAAUUUGUUGAAAUUAAGUGUCACUUUUCUGCCACUAAUUUUCGUUUGUUUUGAGUUCAAGGAAGACCGUCUAAAUCCAAUAGAAAGGAGAAAGAUUUUAAGCUCCUAAUCUAGCUAAACACGACCAUUGACGGAAGCUCUAAACCCAGGUCUUCAACUUUUUUCAUUCUUUACUUUCACCUCUUUUAUCAUGAUAAUUUUUUCAUAUUAGUUUUGUUUUCUUUGUUUUGAUUUCUCUAUAUUUAUGUCUCUGCUGCUGCAUUUUUUUCAAGUGUCUUGGGUGUUUAGUAUGCGUAGGAGGUUUAUAUUUGGUGUUUAAUGUUGUUCCAUGACCCCCCAAAUCUAUUUGUGCUUCUGUUUUUUUCAUUUGAGCUGAAUUAACGUAUAUACACCACUAUGAGUUUUGGUUAACUUUAUUCAAUUACAAAUAUAGUUGUAAAUUAUAUACAAGUUGUAGGGUUGUUUCUGUAACCAUUCAUGACAUAAAUAGUGAAUACAAAUGACCAAAUGAAAUGUAAUUAAAAUAGGUGAACUGACUGCAAUGAUUGUUCGAUUCUCUUGUCAUGAUGACCAUAGUUUUGUUAUAUAAUUUACAAGUUUGUCUAGGAUUUUUUAGAAUGAUAAAUUAGACAUGCCAUUUCAAAAAGGAUGAUAGUGCUAGUUUAGUGCCUGCUUUCUUUUUGGUUCUUCUUGGUAUCUGAUAUUAGUUUGAAACAAAGAAGAUAAAAGUAAAUGUUGUGAGCUACAAUAUGGUUACUCCUAAAGAACGUGAUAAUACAAACUGGUUGGUGGUUAUCAAGACAAAAGCAAGAAGCACAAUCAAUGCAAGAGGUUGUGAAGACAGGCCAGUAAGUAGAAUCAUAUCCCGGAGAUGAGGAUGAGGAUAAAGAAUAAUUUGACUCAUUAAUUCUUGUUUAUUUUCAUUAUUUAAUGUAAUAAAUUUCACAUUGAAGGCUAAAUUGUCGAUAUUCAUGACAAAAUUGAUUAACUUUGGUUAGACAUUUAUUUUAAUGUAAUAAAUCUCACAUUGAAGGCUAAAUUGUUGAUAUCCGUUACAAAAUGAUUGACUUUGGUUAGA